rnacentral:rRNA from 1 species
UGAAUACGAGAUGCUAUGGCAUCGAAGCAGUCUAUGUCAUACUUCCAAGAAAAGCUUGCACUGUCAUAAACAAAUAAUGCCUGUACCAUAACCGACACAGGUGGGUAGGUAGAGUAUACUAAGGGGCGCGAGAUAACUCUCUCUAAGGAACUCGGCAAAAUGACUCCGUAACUUCGGGAGAAGGAGUGCCUUAUUUUAUAAGGUUGCAAUAACAAGAUCCAAGCAACUGUUUACCAAAAACACAGGUCUCCGCUAAGUCGUAAGACGAUGUAUGGGGGCUGACGCCUGCCCAGUGCCAGAAGGUUAAAGAAGUUGGUUAGCAUUAGCGAAGCUGAUAACUGAAGCCCUGGUGAACGGCGGCCGUAACGAUAACGGUCCUAAGGUAGCGAAAUUCCUUGUCGGGUAAGUUCCGACCCGCACGAAAGGCGUAAUGAUUUGGAUACUGUCUCGGAGAGGGGCUCGGUGAAAUAGACUUGUCUGUGAAGAUGCGGACUACCUGCACCAGGACAGAAAGACCCUAUGAAGCUUUACUGUAACUUGAGAUUGAAAUUGGACUUUAUUUGCGCAGUAUAGGUGGGAGACGUUGAAAACAUUCUUGCGGGAAUAUUGGAGUCAUCAGUGAGAUACCACUCUUAUAAUGUUAGAUUUCUAACUUUGUAUCAUUAUCUGUCAAAGAACAGUCUCAGGCGGGCAGUUUGACUGGGGCGGUCGCCUCCCAAACGGUAACGGAGGCGCACAAAGGUUUCCUCUGAACGUGUAGAAAUCGUAUCUAGAGUGUAAAGGCAUAAGGAAGCUUGACUGUGAGACCUACAAGUCGAGCAGGGACGAAAGUCGGUCUUAGUGAUCUGACGGUGCUGAGUGGAAAGGCCGUCACUCAACGGAUAAAAGUUACUCUAGGAUAACAGGCUGAUCUCCCCCAAGAGUUCACAUCGACGGGGAGGUUUGGCACCUCGAUGUCGGCUCAUCGCAUCCUGGGGCGGUAGUACGUCCCAAGGGUUGGGCUGUUCGCCCAUGAAAGCGGUACGCGAGCUGGGUUCAGAACGUCGUGAGACAGUUCGGUCCAUAUCCGGUGUAGGCGUUAGAAUAUUGAGAGGAGCCUUCUUUAGUACGAGAGGACCGAGAAGGACAUACCUCUGGUGUACCAGUUAUCGUGCCAACGGUAAACGCUGGGUAGCUAUGUAUGGAGAGGAUAACCGCUGAAAGCAUCUAAGUGGGAAGCCCACCUCAAGAUAAGUAUUCUC